GAUGAACGCUGGCGGCGUGCCUAAUACAUGCAAGUCGAGCGAACGGACGAGAAGCUUGCUUCUCUGAUGUUAGCGGCGGACGGGUGAGUAACACGUGGAUAACCUACCUAUAAGACUGGGAUAACUUCGGGAAACCGGCGCUAAUACCGGAUAAUAUUUUGAACCGCAUGGUUCAAAAGUGAAAGACGGUCUUGCUGUCACUUAUAGAUGGAUCCGCGCUGCAUUAGCUAGUUGGUAAGGUAACGGCUUACCAAGGCAACGAUGCAUAGCCGACCUGAGAGGGUGAUCGGCCACACUGGAACUGAGACACGGUCCAGACUCCUACGGGAGGCAGCAGUAGGGAAUCUUCCGCAAUGGGCGAAAGCCUGACGGAGCAACGCCGCGUGAGUGAUGAAGGUCUUCGGAUCGUAAAACUCUGUUAUUAGGGAAGAACAUAUGUGUAAGUAACUGUGCACAUCUUGAUGGUACCUAAUCAGAAAGCCACGGCUAACUACGUG
rnacentral:rRNA from 1 species